rnacentral:tRNA from 1 species
GCGGUUGUAGCUCAGUGGUAGAGCGCCCGGCUCUGGGACCGGGUGGACGCCGGUUCGAGCCCGGUCGGCCGGA